AAGCCACGCUGCUUCUCAAGCUAAUUCAUAUUCAGAUUUAUGGAAAGCUCAGCGUUUCACACCACAAGCAGGUGUCAGAAGAGAGUAUUACUGGAAAGGGAAUUGCCCUCUUUGGCAGACAUGAAUUUAUCAAAUUUUCACAAGACCGAAUUGGGGCAUGACGAAUGGAGGUCGGCCAAUGAAAGCUCAAUCUUUCUUCGCUGCAAUCUUUAGGUUAAGUUUCCACCCAAAGGUAUUUCGAGGAUAAGAAGAGAUAGCCCAUGAAGUUCCACGGGGGCAGAGGACUCGUCUACCAACUCCGUUACACUGUACUCUCCCACCAGUUUAGUACGGUGCUCUGCACACAGAGCGGUUUCAACUGUUAAUGAACUUUGGGCAGAUAGAACCGACGAAUAAGUACUAAAGACACGGUCACUUCGGGGAUCCAGAUGCCAAAGAGCUUCCUUGUGAAGGGCUGCCGCUUGAACCGGGCACCAAAAUGCGAAGGAGGAAGCUAACGGAGAUAUCCUUUUUUCCUACGCACAGCGUCGAGGGGGUCCCUCUCUCCCUGAAAACAGACAAAAACUAAUCCUUUGGGUGGUUGGGAGGAGGGGUGGAUGGGCGAAGCGGGGAGAAUUGCCAGACGAAGCGAUACACGGCUUGAAUAAGUUAUACGCGGCUCGAAGCCCGGGCCUUAUUAUAGCCGUAUCUACCGGUCACGGAACGGACGCGAGCGUCGGUCCCCAAGGGGCUGUUCCUCGCGUGCCACGCCAUACUUCUGCCUUAAAUCCUCGCCUACAGGGUUAUCGUUCACCUGCGUUUACUUUCUGCCCCGGUCGGGAGCUUGGGUCGUACACACCCGUGCCAGCAAUUGUGCCGGGAGCAAUCGCAGGAGCCGGUUCUGGGGUGUGGAGCCGCAGGCCUCGUGGGCGAGAGAGAAAGAGAGGGCGAGCGCGGCCCGUUUCCCGGCAUCCGGGGGGCCUCCCAAGACGGCCGCCCCACUCUCUCCCCGGGAGGGAGCCUGUCGCCCCACCCCGUCCUGUCACCACCGCCUUCGGUCAAGACCACCGGGUCGAGCGAUAACAAAUGAAACCCUAGAACCCUGGAAAAGGGACAGGAAGAGCAGAGCGAAGAAUGUGCGGAGGAGCUGGAGGAGGGCCAGUGUCCUCAGAUGAACCCGGCCUGCUCUUCCCCGGCCCUGCCUCUCCGCUGGGCGUUCAGGACCCAGCCCAAGUUCAGGGCCGUGCUCAGGGAGGGCCCACCCCCAUCCCAC